rnacentral:tRNA from 1 species
ACCUGGCUGGCUCAGUCGGCAGAGCGUUCGACUCUUGAUCUCGGAGUUGUGAGUUCAAGCCUCACUUUGGGUG